rnacentral:rRNA from 1 species
ACGCUCGACACCUACUGGAGGCAGCAGUGGGGAAUAUUGGGCAAUGGGCGCAAGCCUGACCCAGCAACGCCGCGUGAAGGAAGAAGGCCCUCGGGUUGUAAACUUCUUUUGACAGGGACGAAACAAAUGACGGUACCUGUCGAAUAAGCCACGGCUAACUACGUGUCAGCAGCCGCGGUAAUCUGAGCGGGCUGGCAAGGC